GGCAGAGGGAGCCUGACAGGAAGUGAGGAUUCCAGACUUCAAACACAAACAUUAUGAAAAACAAGCAACAUCUGCAAACAAGUUCCGGGUCCUACCUCAAACCUCCUCAGAAGAUCCUGGGAAUGAUGGGUGAUUGCCGUGAGUUUGCUAUGGACAUCUUCUUAUAAAGACGUUCUACCUGUCAUCAGGCUACGAGCCACAGGCAACAUUCCAGGUUCAUUACACUGGAAAUAUGCAGCUGGUGGAUGCCUCCUGUCCUGAGAACCCCAGCCUCCAUUGGGGGUCACUUUCCAGGUCCCCUGCCAUCAGACUGAUGCUUCUGAAUUAUCCAACCACUACUGCAGUGAGCAGUAGCAUACUUUUCCUCCUUGCUUGUUUAUGAAAAUAUGCAUCAACUUACUAGAUGUCUUCUUGCUAUAGUUGGAUUUAAUUCAUUAUCGUUCCUUUCAAUAAAAUCACAGGAAAACAUG